UCGUCCCACAAGCUAGCCAGGAAAAUGAGGACGCCAGGAAAAGAGGGAAGGGGAGAGGAGGAGAGAUUAAGUAAAUUGUUCUGUCCGAGACUGAAACUUGCUUGGCUGGUGCCCCAGGAUGUCAGAACUGUGCUCUGCAGGCUGCUUUCUCCUGCUAGCUCACUGUCUCUUCUCUUAAAAAAUUGAAUUAGGUGAAUCUGAUUGGCACUAUCCAAAGGAAGCAAACAGAAGUCACAAAAUCUGGUUUGUGCAAGGACUCUGCAGAGACCUGGAAAGUGGCACAAUGAACUAAGGCUUCAGCUCUGGUGCAUAUGGUCAUUAGUUCAACGCCCAGCAUCACGCCCAGCCAGAGUGAUGCUUUGGUUCUCUCUUUGUCAUUAAUAAAUAAAU